UUUGAGUUCAACCCCUUUUUCCAAUAUUUGUGCAGAAAACCGUAGAGUUUGAUCCUGGCUCAGGACGAACGCUGGCGGCGUGCCUAAUACAUGCAAGUCGAGCGCAGGAAGCUCACGGAACUCUUCGGAGGGAAGUGAAGGGAAUGAGCGGCGGACGGGUGAGUAACACGUAAGGAACCUGCCCCAAGGAUUGGGAUAACUCCGAGAAAUCGGAGCUAAUACCGAAUAGUUCUUCAGACCGCAUGGUCUGAUGAUGAAAGGCGCUUCGGCGUCACCUUGGGAUGGCCUUGCGGUGCAUUAGCUAGUUGGUGGGGUAAUGGCCCACCAAGGCGACGAUGCAUAGCCGACCUGAGAGGGUGAUCGGCCACACUGGGACUGAGACACGGCCCAGACUCCUACGGGAGGCAGCAGUAGGGAAUCUUCCACAAUGGACGAAAGUCUGAUGGAGCAACGCCGCGUGAGUGAUGAAGGUUUUCGGAUCGUAAAACUCUGUUGUAAGGGAAGAACAGGUAUGAGAGGUAAUGCUCAUGCUAUGACGGUACCUUGCGAGAAAGCCACGGCUAACUACGUGCCAGCAGCCGCGGUAAUACGUAGGUGGCAAGCGUUGUCCGGAAUUAUUGGGCGUAAAGCGCGCGCAGGCGGCCUUUUAAGUCUGAUGUGAAAGCCCCCGGCUCAACCGGGGAGGGUCAUUGGAAACUGGAAGGCUUGAGUACAGAAGAGAAGAGUGGAAUUCCAUGUGUAGCGGUGAAAUGCGUAGAGAUGUGGAGGAACACCAGUGGCGAAGGCGACUCUUUGGUCUGUAACUGACGCUGAGGCGCGAAAGCGUGGGGAGCAAACAGGAUUAGAUACCCUGGUAGUCCACGCCGUAAACGAUGAGUGCUAGGUGUUGGGGGGUUUCCGCCCCUCAGUGCUGAAGCUAACGCAUAAGCACUCCGCCUGGGGAUACCCCCAAAUAUUGGAAAAAGGGGUUGAACUCAAA
rnacentral:rRNA from 1 species